rnacentral:rRNA from 1 species
GUGGGUAGUUUGACUGGGGCGGUCUCCUCCUAAAGAGUAACGGAGGAGCACGAAGGUUGGCUAAUCCUGGUCGGACAUCAGGAGGUUAGUGCAAUGGCAUAAGCCAGCUUGACUGCGAGCGUGACGGCGCGAGCAGGUGCGAAAGCAGGUCAUAGUGAUCCGGUGGUUCUGAAUGGAAGGGCCAUCGCUCAACGGAUAAAAGGUACUCCGGGGAUAACAGGCUGAUACCGCCCAAGAGUUCAUAUCGACGGCGGUGUUUGGCACCUCGAUGUCGGCUCAUCACAUCCUGGGGCUGAAGUAGGUCCCAAGGGUAUGGCUGUUCGCCAUUUAAAGUGGUACGCGAGCUGGGUUUAGAACGUCGUGAGACAGUUCGGUCCCUAUCUGCCGUGGGCGCUGGAGAACUGAGGGGGGCUGCUCCUAGUACGAGAGGACCGGAGUGGACGCAUCACUGGUGUUCGGGUUGUCAUGCCAAUGGCACUGCCCGGUAGCUAAAUGCGGAAGAGAUAAGUGCUGAAAGCAUCUAAGCACGAAACUUGCCCCGAGAUGAGUUCUCCCUGAGACUUAAAGUCUCCUGAAGGAACGUUGAAGACGACGACGUUGAUAGGCCGGGUGUGU